CAAGCACUACACUCCAUGAACUACUCAACAAAUAGUUACAUAAAGAUUUAUUAGAUCUGCAGGAAAAUUACUUUAAGUCCUGAAACUCUUUAUAGAUUCUACCAACAGAAUGGUUGAUGAUCUGUUUAAGGCUGUAAUGGAAUUUGAGCAGUCUGAGGAGGAGGAGCAAAAAUGCCCGAAAGUCACCAGCCAGACCGCAUUCAAAACCAUGUCUGAGGAUUUCGCAUGGAAUUGGGGAGAUGGAAUUGGGAAUUAAAGACUGAAACUUGUCACAGAAGCCAAGGCCAAGAAACUCCUGGCAGAUCAAUUCAAACUGGACCCUAAACUCAUCGAGAUGGAGAAGGCUCAUAGGAAUGGCUUAUAGGAAUGACACAUUCUUCCUCGAUGGACGGCCCAGAUCUAUAGCGUUACGCCAAAACUGCACCCCGUUAUUCAGAGGGGCGUUCUACUACUCUCCCAUUGGCCUUCUAGUGUUUUCUCACUCACAGGCGAUCAGCGCAAAGACAGUGACCUUCCAAGAGUUGCAAUGGGUUGUAAAAAUGUCUCAGAAAACUCUGCUGAAUUCCCUCAAUUGAAGGUCAGGACACAGAGGCCCAGCUGAAAACUAUUUUCCUGCAUUUUUGCAAGCCUAUACACAUGGAGAAUUUCGAAGAUAUUCUAAAACGGGUGGACAUCGAUUUUUCAGAAUUCCAAACACUCCAAGAACC
ensembl:lncRNA